rnacentral:rRNA from 1 species
AUAUCCUACGGGACGCAGCAGUGAGGAAUAUUGGUCAAUGGGCGAGAGCCUGAACCAGCCAAGUCGCGUGAGGGAGUACUGCCCUAUGGGUUGUAAACCUCUUUUGUCGGGGAGCAAAAGCCGGACGUGUCCGUCUGUGAGAGUACCCGAAGAAAAAGCAUCGGCUAACUCCGUGCCAGCAGCCGCGGUAAUACGGAGGAUGCAAGCGUUAUCCGGAUUUAUUGGGUUUAAAGGGUGCGCAGGCGGAUUUUUCAAACAGCGGUCAAAUCGUGGGGCUCAACCCCAUCCAGCCGUUGAAACUGGGG